UGGGAUAACUCCGGGAAACCGGGGCUAAUACCGGAUGCUUGAUUGAACCGCAAGGUUCAAUUAUAAAAGGUGGCUUUUAGCUACCACUUACAGAUGGACCCGCGGCGCAUUAGCUAGUUGGUGAGGUAACGGCUCACCAAGGCAACGAUGCGUAGCCGACCUGAGAGGGUGAUCGGCCACACUGGGACUGAGACACGGCCCAGAACCCUACGGGAGGCAGCACUAGGGAAUCUUCCGCAAUGGACGAAAGUCUGACGGAGCAACGCCGCG
rnacentral:rRNA from 1 species